rnacentral:rRNA from 1 species
UAGGGAAUAUUAGUAAUGGGCGCAAGCCUGAACUAGCAACGCCGCGUGUGCGAAGAAGGCCUUCGGGUUGUAAAGCACUUUUCGAGAGGAUGAGGAAGGACGGUACUCUCAGAAUAAGUCUCGGCUAACUACGUGCCAGCAGCCGCGGUAACACGUAGGAGGCAAACGUUAUCCGGAUUUACUGGGCGUAAAGCGCGUGUAGGUGGUUUGGUAAGUAGGGCGUGAAAGCUCCUGGCUCAACUGGGAGAGGACGUUCUAAACUGCCAAGCUUGAGGAUGGUAGAGGGAGGUGGAAUUCCGGGUGUAGCGGUGGAAUGCGCAGAUAUCCGGAGGAACACCAGUGGCGAAGGCGGCCUCCUGGACCACUCCUGACACUCAGACGCAAAAGCUAGGGUAGCAAACGG